rnacentral:rRNA from 1 species
GAUGAACGCUGGCGGCGUGCCUAAUACAUGCAAGUCGAGCGAACAGACGAGGAGCUUGCUCCUCUGACGUUAGCGGCGGACGGGUGAGUAACACGCGGAUAACCUACCUAUAAGACUGGGAUAACUUCGGGAAACCGGAGCUAAUACCGGAUAAUAUAUUGAACCGCAUGGUUCAAUAGUGAAAGACGGUUUUGCUGUCACUUAUAGAUGGAUCCGCGCCGCAUUAGCUAGUUGGUAAGGUAACGGCUUACCAAGGCAACGAUGCGUAGCCGACCUGAGAGGGUGAUCGGCCACACUGGAACUGAGACAGGGUCCAGACUCCUACGGGAGGCAGCAGUAGGGAAUCUUCCGCAAUGGGCGAAAGCCUGACGGAGCAACGCCGCGUGAGUGAUGAAGGUCUUCGGAUCGUAAAACUCUGUUAUUAGGGAAGAACAAAUGUGUAAGUAACUAUGCACGUCUUGACGGUACCUAAUCAGAAAGCCACGGCUAACUACGUG